UUUGAUAACUAGGACUUUGACAUUUUGAUAGUUUAUGGUAUUAUUUUACAAAGGAUGAGAUGUCCGCACAACCUUUCAUCAGUGAACUUCCUAAGAAGCUAAUUUAAGAAGUAAAAAUGUGACAAGACCUUGGCAAAUAUUGACACUGACUUUGGAAAGCAAAUAUGAGUGCUCAUCUCUGGUUGAACAGAUGAAGUGGACCGUGGCAGCAGCAGUAAUGAGAGAGAAGCACGCGUGACUUUGGGUGGUCACACUGGGUCUAAUUCUGACAUCAUUGCUCACUAACUAGGUUUAAACGCAGAUAUGUCACUGGAGGUGCGCAACCAUCUUGGAAGACAUCAUUCCUGGCACUGUGGAGUUACUGAACCAGCCUUCACAGCUUCCUACCUCUGAUUUCUUGCAGCAUGAUAAAAGUACACCUCUAAUUAAAACAUUCGAGAUAAAACUACGUGCAGUGCUUCUCUACGUGGCCGCAUACUGAAAUCACCUGGUGAGAUUUAAAAAGACU
rnacentral:lncRNA from 1 species